AUGUCUGGGGGAUUGAGCUGGGAUUUAGCUCAGCAUGUGCAGCUGAACCCCGGCGCAAUCCCUCGCUUACCGGUGCGCGAGGAAGUAGAAGGCGACGGCGAGGAGAAGCCAUGCGGAGACGAAGGCGAGGACCAGAACGGCGAACCGCGCAAGAUCCUUGCAGGGCGUCGUGGCGGUGAGGUGGAGGUAGGCGAGGACGAUGGCGGCGAAGUGGUCGAGGAUGACGCCGGUGAGGUAGGCCGUCGUGAGGACCACAAGGAGGGACAUGGCCGCCUCGUCGCCCAGGAAACGGAGGAGCGGCGCCAUGAUCUUGGAGCAGCCUUUGGCGAGGCCGAGCACCAGCGUCGCCUCCUCCCGGACGGAAUCCAUCGGCCGUGCGAGGUCAGCCGUUGGCCGGUCGAUGCAGCAGCCGGCGCUGGGAGUGGUGGAAGAACAGGGGAGAAUGUAGUACGUAGUACUACUGGAGUACUAGCAAGGACCAAGGUGAAUGUUUUGGAGAGGGGGGCGGAAGCAGGAAGCUAG
rnacentral:rRNA from 1 species